UACGUAGGGGGCAAGCGUUGUCCGGAAUCAUUGGGCGUAAAGAGCGUGUAGGCGGCUUCUUAAGUCUGGUGUGAAAUCUCCCGGCUCAACUGGGAGGGUGCGCCGGAUACUGAGGGGCUAGAGUGUGGGAGAGGAAAGUGGAAUUCCUGGUGUAGCGGUGAAAUGCGUAGAUAUCAGGAGGAACACCGGUGGUGUAAACGGCUUUCUGGACCAUAACUGACGCUGAGGCACGAAAGCGUGGGUAGCAAACAGG
rnacentral:rRNA from 1 species